rnacentral:rRNA from 1 species
UACGUAGGGAGCAAGCGUUGUUCGGAUUUACUGGGCGUAAAGGGCGCGUAGGCGGCAAAUUAAGUCAGCUGUGAAAUCUCCGAGCUUAACUCGGAACGGUCAGCUGAUACUGAUCUGCUAGAGUGCGGAAGGGGCAAUCGGAAUUCUUGGUGUAGCGGUGAAAUGCGUAGAUAUCAAGAGGAACACCUGAGGUGAAGACGGGUUGCUGGGCCGAAACUGACGCUGAGUGCGCGAAAGCCAGGGGAGCAAACGGG